rnacentral:lncRNA from 1 species
CCUUCAGCCAGGACACUCCUGGCUCAGAAGGACCAUCAACGGUUCCCUCUGCCCCACCAACACUGUGCCCUGCCCCGUUGAGAUGUGGGAGGAAAAGCAGCAAUAUGAAUGUCCCCUGUCCCCAUAACUCCCUGUUUGCAUGUUUUCAGCUCUCUAAACUUUACCUGUCCCUGUUACCACCACCUGAUCCUUCUAGUCUGCAGCUUGCAUCUGAGAGAAGAGCAAGAAUCAACAAAACAGGGCUGCAGCUCUUUGCACAGCCGGAACUUCCAGAGAGCAAGCUCUAGGACUUAUUAGAAAUCCGAGCUUCAUUUCACCAGUGAGUUUCAUUUGACCCUCACCAAUGUGCACUGAAACYUUAAGGACUAAAGCUUUUCUCUCUGCUGUCUAUUUGGUGAUUGAAUUAAACGAACAAGAAUGAUGGAUGUGUUUAACCAUUUUAAUACAACCCAAGCAAUUGGGCUAUGCUUUCCUGGUGCAUCUGAUGCUACAAAACCGUGUGCUCUUUUCCRUCCAAAGAUUUAGCAAGUGAUACAUACAAGAUAUGACUUUCUGAUGUUGAAGGAAAACAAACAAGCCCCUACUUCCCCCUUAAGGGAAACAAAUGGUCUGAGAAACUUUUUGUUAUUCCAGUGUGGGCCUGGUUCCGCCAGCUCAAGAUUGGACAUCCAGAAUGAGCAU